CGUGCCUUUCCUUGGUUAUCAGUUUAAAUAAUUUCCCUGCUUGUUUCCCUCCUCCUGUUUUAAAUUAUCCUGUAGACUGGAGAGGUUGAAUACAGCAAUCAGGCUUUUUUGUAUCCAGCUGACGCGUGGGACUGGUUCACUCACAGCUACAUGCUGGUUCUGAGAGAAGGGAGCCUUCCUUGCCAGGGAGCCGCUGGGCACGACGUAUCCAGGUCUUACGCUAGGUAUGAGGGUCAAGGAGAUUGGGCUCCUGCCGCAGGGGACUGACACAAACAGCAAAGAUCAAGGAAGGACUGCAGCAAAAACAGCCUGCUCCUUGAUGCCAAGUGGGACCACCUGUUCUUCACACUUGGGCAGAGUGAGUGGAUUUGGUGGAGUCAGACUGGCUUUGAGAGGCCGCCCAGCUAGUCUGAAGACGAGUUUGCUGGUUCUGGAGAGUGGUGAGCUGCCACGGUGCUCCGAGGAGUUUGCAGAGAGUCUGCCCCUGUGUCAGAUGUUCCCUCCAUAUCCCCAUCACCCUGUCAGCUGAAUUUCUGAUUACCACUGAAGGUAGACAGCAGCCUCUGGAGCACCGGAGGGGGUUUGAAGGUGAAAAAUCUCCAAGGACAGCAUCUGAAAGUUGUGCUCCUAGCUGCACAGCCUUUGAGGUCUGCGAUGGAGACAGCGCGGGAGCAAAUCCAUCUCGGAAGCGGCUUUUUCUCUCUCCUGCCUGCUCCCCCUUUCUCUGUCUCUCUCUCUCGGUCCUUUUGCUCCGAUCUCCCACAUCAGACUUUAAUGACAUUCCCAGUUACUGCCACUAAUGAAGGGCCACGGCUUUCACUAACAGGCCAACUGAGAUGGAUUCUUCAUGAUUGACUCGAUAGCCCGAGAGGGGCUGUGUGACAGCUCUCCUCCCCGGGGCUUUGAACAAAUGCUCUCGUCUCUAAUCGAGUUCCUUCCAGGAUUAAUGAAGCCCUGAGAUCACUUUUAUCUCCCGGAACAAGACGGAGCAGCUUCCAGAAUCAAAGUCACUCAGUAAGCAAGGAAAUGGCUGGUUUGGCAUAGCAGCGUUUUUAGGAGAGCACAGAGCUGGGGAUGAGGAUGUAAAAAUAGAGGUGUGUGGAGUGGUGGAGGAGGGGGUAGACGAGUCCCUGUUAUAAUGCCACACUAUGGCAAUCAGCAGGUCUCCUUUACACACCCAGGCCUUAUCUUUUACACCUGCACUUUUUCCCUUGGGUUUUGCACCCAGUUUUGUGGAGUGGCUUCAAUGGGGAUAUUGAUUUUCCCUUCCAGUGUUGCCGUCCCUCAGGAAAUGACUGUUUUGCCAAAGAUGAAGCAGGGCAGAACGGACAAGACAGAUCCAUUUCUGUCUUGGCCAGCGGGACUAUGGCUGGGUGAUAUGAUUAAAGUGAGGACAAAGCAUCCUUCACUCUGGUCAACACAGUAUGCCUGUCCAGGAACAAUGAGCCCAGAGGUACAUGGUGCUGGAGGGAUACUUAGGUUCAUCUCUCUCUCUCCAUUUGCUUUCUUCUGUCUCUUCACCAUCCAUGAACCCCACCAUGGGGUGAGAGUCCUGCUCCCCUGAGAGUCACUAGGGGUGCUCCGCUUUUGGGUUGGUGCAACCCCGUUAUGCCAACCCCGUCUGGAUCCCUCUGGUCAGCAGGAAGAUCUGGAAAACAAAAAGUCCUGAGGAAGCAGCCCAGAACAGCAUGAACAAUUGGGCAAGGGCUGGGAUAUCAGAGAGCCCCGCAGCGGGUGGCGUCCCAGCAGGGCUAGAAACGGCAACGGGACGGAAACGGGAUCAGACUCCUCUUCGCCGGACCAGAAGCGAUCAUCUCUUUUUGAGCCAACUGGGGGCACUGCAGGGUAUGGUAUAAAUGUGGGGCCAGGCCCCGGGGCACAGGAUCCAGUUGUGACACCAGGGGCUGGAAGGGAGAUGGUAGGUGUUGGCGUGCAUGUGCUUUGCUAAAACCAAGGAGAGCUGAACCUUCAACUCUUCUUGUGGGUUUGCCGUCAGGCGUGCAGCGCCAGCUGCAACGGGGUUAUCGAGUAUCCCCCAUGCCCAGGUCGGUGGAGACGGAAAGGGGGCUGCGUGACUAGCUCUGGCUCUGAGAACAAUGGCAGCAAGGAGCUGGCGAGGUCGCUCCCACCCUCUGGCUCCAUUUCACCGAAGUAUUUAGAUAGCAAUCUCAAGGCCGGAAUGUAAAUUGGAAGCAGAUCUGGGUGCCGAGGCUGGAGCCAGAUGUUAAAGGUAACCCGGCCACAUAAAAUGCAGAGCGAGGGAAUGAAUUGAUGGGCCUCGACAGUCCCCCCAGCCACAGCGCACCCGGGCACAGCCAAAGUGGAGGAGGGAACAGUCUGCGGUUUCGCUGUUGCCUGCAGCUGAUUUCUAGCCCGUUCAGCUCGUGUUCCCUUGGGAGGGGGGGCAAGGAUGUGGGGCCUGUGGGAAGGGCUUGGUUUUCGCUGUACUGGAGUUGUGUAAAUGCAAGGGGUACAUGCAUGGGGAACGAGUGCAUCUACAGGGCGUAUAUCUGAGGGUUCCUGGGUGGUGUGUGCACGUGGUGCCCGUGCGACACGUGUCCACGGGGCAUAGGGGUGAGUGGCUGGACGUGAUGGCAUGCUGGCAGCAGGGGGGUCAGGCGAAUGUGCCUGUGUAUUCAGAGGGGUGAUGCUUCACUUCUCUUCUGCAGGAAAGCAGCGCCCGCCUGACCCCAGCCCUCACGCUGUGUGUUCCCGCUGUCGGGCUGGAGGUUUUGGGGUUUGUUCCUGGCGUGCAGGAAUGUCUCCUCCUUUCUUCCAUGCUCCUCCAGAUGCUUUAAGGGGCUGCUCGGGGUUUCCUCGCAUCCCCAGCACACCGAGGCGUGAUGCACAGCUGCCUGGCAGGAUGAGGAGGCUGAGGGUCAACCGAACCCUGGAGAGGGAGAAAGGGGACGCCCGGAGUCCUUUCCUGGUGCCUUGCCAGGCGCUGGCGUGGGACCACAGCGGGUUCUGCUCCCGGGCCGGGAAGGGGGGAGGCGAGUUCCCCGCAGUCCCUUCGCUGACGGGAAGAACAACAGCGCAGACUGUUUAUGCACAGAGCCCAUUUCCAUAGCAACGCUGCAUUGUGCGGGAGCCGAUCGUGCAAUCCCAGGGUGGAUGGAAGGAAAAGCCUGGCUGGCUCAUUGAGAUGCACCUGCCAGCCGCAGUGCUGAGGGGGAAUCCCUGCUGCACGGGGAACCCCGGUGCAGCCGGUGGAGAGCGGGACUGCCGGGGGUCAGGGCCGCAGCGGGCCCAAAUGACCCCAAGGCCUGUCUGUGCCCCCCGGGGUGGGGCAGGAUGGAGUCCCCCAGCUGAGGGCACCUCCGACAACACAGCUGCUGCCCUUGAACUCAGCCUGAAUGGGAGAUACCUCUCUCCUCCACGCAGUCCCUCCCUCCCCAGGCUCCUUCAAAGCGCUUGCGGCUAGCUCUCCCAGAGCAAAUAAUUAUGGAAUUAAAACCCAAGCCUUUCAGUCCCCUAAUAGCCUGCGUCAAUCUGUCAGCGGCUGCCUGCGCGAUGGGGGAGGGAGGGGGGAGGCUGUUAUGUAAGAGCCUUGGAGCCCGUGAACUCCCCUCGCCCGCAGCUAGCGGCGCUCCUGCCCAGCUGCCCCAGUUCAGUCCGGCCAAGAAGGGGUCUCGCACUGGGAGGGGCUGGAUUUGACCUGCGAGGAUGCGAGGAGGAGGUCGCGGAGACCCAAGGGGGUUUCUGAGACCCUCGGGGAAUCAUCCCACCCCGUGGGGCAGGGGAAGGGUGCCUUUAGGAAGCGCUCAGAGGGCAACCGGGCAAGCUUGGGUGCUGGGAUGGGAAGGGCGUUGUGGUGCUGGGAGAGGGCAGCUCUUGGAGGGCCUGGUAGCUGUAGCUGCCCUGUCUCCCCACAUAUCCUUUGAAGACUAGCUGGUAACUGGGGCUGCAUACAAGCCAGAGCCUGGCUUUUGGGUUUCUCCGCAGACGUGCUGCUCUCCUUGAUUCUGGGGUACCUCACCCUAAUACCUCGGUGCCCGAGGCAUCUCUGUCCAGCCCUUGUGCCCACACUGGUGUCCUCUGGGGUGGGCAAAUGCUCACUGUCCCUGCAGCUCUAGACCUUUCUCCCUGCUGCUUUCCUACCCGCCCAUGGCUUGGCACCAGCUGCCGAGGCCAGCUGUGCCCACCCCUGCCAGAGCUCCUUCCUUCCUGCCUUGUUCGUUGUGUCCUUGGUAUUCUGGCUCAGACUUUCCCUUGGGUGAGUCCCUUAUGAUGGUGUAUGUGGACCACCCCCUCUUAUUUUAUAAUGGGCACUGGAGACGCUUGGGCCAGCCCCGCAGAGAGCCCUCCGAGCCCCCAUGUCACUGAAUGCUUCUUCGGGGAGCGAUGGAAGGGAAGGAGCUGACAGUGCAAUGGCUGUUUCCUGGGAAGUGACUGAUGAGCUGAGGUGCUCUGUAGUCCUCAAAUACAAUUUACUCUACAAUUACUGUCUGCUCUCUGCAAGCGCAGGGUGAAUGCAGAGGCGUGAUGGGGAGAUAGGAAAACCUCGGGCUGGCCUGGAGCAAGGGGGCAUGUCUAAAAACCAAGCCGGAGAAAGCGCUGGAUUCCCUGUGCCCAUUGUAGAGGGGCAGUGCUUUGCAGGGUGCUCUGGGCAGUGUCGCCCCGGGGUGUGAGCAGGAGGGAAAUAGGAUGGGCGAGGGGCAGCAAGAUCUUGGUGGGGUAUUCUUUACCCCCAGGCUCAAGGAUCUCCAUCCCCUGGGAAAUCUGAAGUGAGCAGUAAGCAGCUCAGCUGCUCUCUGCAGGAAAUCUGCUCUGGGUUGCGGAUCAGAGAGGAGUUUUCCAAGCUGUAGCUGCCCUCAGCUUUCUAACACCGGCUAUUAACAGCAUGCCUGGAGAUCCUGCUGUUUGCAUUUACCAACUCUGAAGCAAUGUGUGGAGACAGGGCUGCUGCUGUGUGAGGAUGCGUGGGCAGGAGAGCUUGCAGGUAAUUGUACCAACACCCACAUUAAUGGCUGCAACUCUCAUGGGUUGGAUCCAUCCCGGUGCCCUAAUCCCAGUCCUCAUGGCCACAGGCUAAGCCCAGCGGGAGCCAGUUCAUAAAAGGGACAACUCUGAAGUCCCGAAGCAACUGAUCUCCAGGUUCAGUACUCCCAAGCCCUGUGCUCGGCUCUGUUCCCUGCCCUGCUACAUGGGAAGAGGCUGGUGACAGGGCUAAUGCCACUUCAUCCUUCAGAGAAAAUUCAAUGUGGGGAGAAAAAAAAAAUCUCCAGCCCUUGUGAGGGUAACAGCCAAUCUCCAAAUCCACCUCUCUGCACUGUAAUUGUUGGUAGAUUGCUGAGUCCUCCCUGAUUCAACAUGUCUCGGUCCCAGCACAGAUGCCCAGGGCUGGAGAGCUGCAGAUGGAGCCAGGGACUCUCGGCAGGUGGUACUGGAGGAGCUGGGCUGCAGCGGGUGAGGCUGCCUGACCACAGCUGAGAGCCACAAAGCGGGUGCCUUCAUGCCUGGGGGUCUGACCCUCAUGCUUCUCCUUGAUGCAGGCCUAGCAGCUCUGCAGCAUCCAUCACCCAAGUAUCCAGGCGUGUUGACUGGGCUUUACUUGCCUUGUGCAGGGGUAAUGGUGGCUCACUGCUUUCUCUGUGCCGGGGGAACCUCAUGGGCAAAUCGGAAGGCAAAAGUCAAAGCCACAAGGAGGUAAACUGCUGGGAUCGGAUCACAGGAGGUGGUGACAGUAAAGGAGCAGAGAUCACAGGACUGAAACGAAUCCACACCUGCCAAGGAACCGGACAGUGACAACAGAGGCAGAACUCAGAACCCGCUGCUACAAAAUUCAUUCCUAUUCUGCAGGAGUGUAACAAGAAUCACUCUUAACGGUUUGCAAUACAGAGUCGUGACACAUAGUUGUGUGGUCCCAAUUGUUUCCAGUAAAGGGCACUGCUGUACAUUUACACCAGAGUGAAAUGGAAAGAGAACCUGUGAUUUCUUCAUCUCUUUAGCCACUUGAAUGCAUCUGGGUCACCUGCGGAGAUGUGCUCCCUGAACCGUCCGCUGUCUUUUACCCCCAGUUGUAUAGCUAGACCUUUUCCCUAAUCUUAUUCACUUUUCUAAUGCACAAGCCAGUUUUGGAAUCUUGUUUUCCAUUUGAUUUUAGAAAGACACCACCACCAACCAAAAAAAACCCCAAAACCCAUAGCCUGCUGGUUACAAUAUGCAGGCAGGGGCUGGUAUGAAUUGGUAUGCUUUACAGCCCAAAGAGAGAGACACGCAUCUAAUUUCUGCUUGCCAAAGCUGAAGGAAACUAUGUGACAGAGAGACCUCUGUGCCCCUGGAAUUUAUGAUUUUUGGUAUUAAUUACUCGUUGGACUUGAAAGCCCACAAUUCUGGCAGCAUUUGGUGCUGUGGAAGUGGGGAAGGGGAGCUGUGAUUCAGCGGCAAAGGGCAGGGACCCUUGCAGGGGAGCGGUGUUCUCCAGCGUUGCCCUAAAUUAGCAAGCCUUGCUCUUAGAAAACAUUCAUUUAAAGCUUGGUUCACAGAAACGGGCACAGGGAUUUUUCUGCUUAAACCAAGUGUCCUGAAGCUAUCCCCAGCACAAGUCCUUAGAAAUCAAUCUGCGAGGAAAAACAAAAGCCGAUACCGGGAAUUGGCCCUGUGUGUUUUCUGCCUGACAUCCGGCAUUCCUUUUUCCUUGUGGUUUUUAUUACUAGGCACACUUGGAUUAAAAAUAAGCACAAGCUCUGAUCUUUUUAUCUUUGGGGGUUCUCUGCUCGUUCCUCACUUAGUACCACAUUAACGUUUGACCUCCGCAGCCACCGAUCAUGAUGGCAUUAGGAAAAGUUUGUGGUUUCCCAGGAAGAGUAAGCAGCAGCAGUAGAAAGCACAAGGGAGACUCGCAGCCAACAAGGAACCGUCCUGCUUUCCUGCAAAAAUCAUAAACCAGGAGGGAAGGGACCAGAAUAAGAAAUGGAGGUGGAAAAGGCUCCCCCCUUGUCAGCUCAUGGGAAAGUCUCCAGAAACAGCCAUCUUUGUCCAUCUCCCACAAAGUCCUGUUCAUGCCAGCAGAUUUCAUUGUCUCUAAGGCUUUUCUCAGGGUCACCUCGAGGGGGGAGAAAAAAAUCAGCUAUUAAAAGACCAUUUCUCCAUGUACAAACAGGAAAACGCACAAAACUGCUCAUCUUACACAACGGCUAAACAAACCACACUGCCCAGUGCCCACAACUCCUAGAAGGGUCUUUCCAUGUUCCCCCCCCACUUCACUCCCCCAGUGAUUCUUCAUUUUUACCUAGCUGAUUGUUUUAUUUUAGGUUUUUAUACUGCCGCAUAAACCCCCAGCAGGCAAUUCUGGUAGUACUUUUGCUCGGGAUUUUUUUUUUGGUUGGUUGGUAGGGUCAUAAGGCUUCCACCUAGCAUAUAGAAAAAGCAUCAGUUGGAUGACAGAAUCUGUGCAUAACGGAUGUCAAACGAGGGACCAGGCCGUCUAUGCCAUAGGUGUCUGGAUCCGCUUUCACAGCUGGCAGGAGGGGAAGGGGGGAGUCAGAUCCUCCUUUUUGUGACUCCACUGACAAUGGAUCUAUGCUGACUUACCCCUGCCAAGGCUCUUGGUAAAGUCUGUAUUGUCUCUGGGUACAUUCCCCAGUGUCUCUAUUGCAUCUUCCUACAAGGACAACCGUGGACAAACAAAAGAAGGCUGCACUCGGAAGAUGCCUUGCACUCUACUGCUUGUAAUUGUUCUGUCACUGAAGAAUGAAGGCAGCUCAGACAAUGUUAUCUGACAGGCGCCGCUUCAUUGUUCCCCUGAAGUUUAUUAUUUUUUUCCCAGGGUUGUGCAUUGUGAAGUUCAGACUGCUCCCCUUCAUUUGCUGCCAUUUAUCUAUAAUUUAGUAUGGGUUUUAGUUAUAUGAUAAUUGAGUUUCAUGUGUCACAGUGUGUCUCAAACAGAAAAUAUAAAUAUUUAACAGCCUCCACUGGUAAUAAAGAUUCGCAUUUGCCUCGUU